CCUACGGGAGGCAGCAGUGAGGAAUAUUGGUCAAUGGGCUUACGCCUGAACCAGCCAAGUCGCGUGAGGGAAGACUGCCCUAUGGGUUGUAAACCUCUUUUGUCAGGGAGCAACGCCGGCCACGUGUAGCCGGACAGAGAGUACCUGAAGAAAAAGCAUCGGCUAACUCCGUGCCAGCAGCCGCGGUAAUACGGGGGAUGCGAGCAUUAUCCGGAUUUAGUGGGUUUAAAGGGUGCGUAGGCGGAAUGCCAAGUCAGCGGUAAAAUCGCGGGGCUCAACCCCGCUCCGCCGUUGAAACUGGCGUUCUUGAGUGGGCGAGAAGUAUGCGGAAUGCGUGGUGUAGCGGUGAAAUGCAUAGAUAUCACGCAGAACUCCGAUUGCGAAGGCAGCAUACCGGCGCCCAACUGACGCUGAAGCACGAAAGCGUGGGUAUCGAACAGGAUUAGAUACCCCAGUAGUC
rnacentral:rRNA from 1 species